AAAGGGAUUUAGGCGACGUUUUUUUCACGACGCAUUUUUAAACGUCAGGCUUUUUAACAUUUAACGACGUUUUUAUAAAACGUCGCAUAUUUAUUUAAAAAACGGUACCGUUUUAUAAUAGGAAACGCCUCCAAAUGUGUUGUGCCACACGCGCCUGGUCUCCUCCUCUUUUCAAAACCUAAUUUUGAAUCUGACACUCACUUAAGUUAAGACCCAAAUCUCGAGCGCUCUCUCUCUCUCUGAGCGAUUUCGAAGCUCUACCGCUUGUUCAUUCUCAGAGCAAGGUAGCGAGCACCAACGAAGGUUCAAAAUCUCUCGGUGAUUUCAUCGCUAAAUCUACUCUCUCUCUCUCUAAAUCUCUCUCUCUCAAGCCUCUCUAAACCUUUAUCAGAGCGAUUCAGAGAUUCCUCUCAAUGAUUUCAUCGCAAAGAUUCAGAGCGAUUUCAUCUUAGUGAUUUCAUUGCAGAGAUUCAGAGAUUCAGAUCGGUCUUCGCCAUCGUCUACUAAGUUCAGGUGGUACCUUUGCAUUGUACUCCCUACUCUGUCGACAUGCAAGACUUAGCAGUCUACCAAAUCAACAAAGAUCAGAUGAGAUGUUGUUUGCAUAUGCUGUAGAAAGAUCAGAAGAAACAUGAGCACAGACAUGUUGGUUCCACAAAUUUCAAUUUACUGAGUAGCAGAAGCCAUACAAUAUUUACACUGACAAUAGAGGGUAGACCUUGUGGUGAUAAUUGUGAAGGUGGAGCGGUAAACUUGUCAUAACUGAACCUCAUCGAUCUGGCAGGUUCUGAGAGCUCCAAGGCUGAAACUACCAGUGUGCGUCGAAAGGAAGGAUCCUAUAUUAAUAAAAGUCUACUAACUCUUGAAACUCUCAAUGCCAUGUGUGUGGAUUCGAUUUGUUUUCUUCCUUCUUAUCAGCCAGUUCGGCGGGGUACAAAUGGUGGUGUGACAAAAGCAGGACUCCUAGCAGCUGCUGUGGCAGGCAGCAUCAUUGGACUGACAUUCGUUCUCAUAGGCUUUUUCACAACAAGAUGCGCUUAUGACGUGGCUCUGAAGCAGCUACUAGUAAUACCUAUUUCUGCUUUGGCGGGGCUUUGUGGAAGUGUCAUAGACUCUCUGUUGGGAGCAACACUGCAGUUCAGUGGAUUCUGCAGUGUCCGUAACAAACGAAUAAACUUGAUGUUAUUUGGAGUGCAAUUCAAGCCGACCGUGGUAUAGGGCGAGUGCGUGCUACUCCUAUCUCUGUAGCAAAUGGGCGCACUGUUCGAGUAUCUUCAGUGGGUAGGUAUAAGUGAUUCUGGAAAAGCUUUUGGAAACUCAUCUGUUCUCCAUUUAAGUUGGGAACUCAGCAAUUGUGAUGGUUUGGCAUCUUGGGGUGAUGCCUAUGAUUUAGCAACAUCCAAAUCCAGCUGGGAGAGGUUUUUGUUUUUGCAGAAUGCGUCAGGAUUGGUACUGCCAAAACUUUGAUUUGUUUAAAUUUAUUUUAUAUCAUUGUAUUUAAUCAAGGUUUAGUUUUCUAUGUUGCCAGGUAAUUUGUUACUGACAGUUUUUCAUUUGCUAUAUUUUUAAUUGCACGUUUACCAUUGGAUUUGUGCCUGUUGUGUUUUGUGUGCAUGCUAAGUAAAUCUCAAAUAUGUAUCCCAUUUUUGUAGAUUAUUAUCUACAUGUCUUAUGACUUUAAGGUCAAAAUAACUUUUCGACUUGGUUUCAAAAUAGUCUCACUAUCAUCAGACAUUAUUUCAAGAACAUAAGGGGUCAAUAAAGUUUACUCUCUUGGCAGACAAGCUGUAAGAUGUCCGCUUCAUCUGCGGCUAUCUUAUUUCAACACAUUGGCAAUUUAAUAUUUGUAGAGUAUUUGGCUGAAAGCAUUCAUUUAAGUUUCCAAAAGUGAGUCUGACAACUGUAGUCGGUGCUAUAUUAUGAAAUGGUCUGCAAUAGUCACUUUGGAAUUAGGAGGAGCAUGAUUUUGUAUUAUUUGUGUUGCACUUGUUUUUCAGAAGGAUUACCAAUCUAAAUCAUAUAGAUUCACUUAUGCUGACCUUUUUUUUCCCCUUCCUCUGAAUUUUCUUGUACUGAACAGGGUAUGAAUGACAGAGUUGUCCCACCCUCAAUGACAGAUUUUGUGCAGCAGCUUCUACCAGGGGCGAUGGUGCAUAAGCUCCUUUACGACGGCCAUUUCACCUAUUAUUAUUUCUGUGACGAAUGCCAUAGACAGAUUUUCACUACCAUUUUUGGAAACCCACAAGGGCCACUUGCCGCUAAAGUAGAUAGUGAAGAGAUAAUGGAAGAGGAAAACCUUGGUGAUUCUGUCAUGGACUGAGAACAUUUUCUGGUUCAGUAGAUCAGAUUCUGAUGUACAUACUACAGGUGCCUGCCUAUGAGCGGAUGAAUAGAGUCUACAAUUAUACACUUGACCCAUGUGGUCCUAUUUACAUAACAGUUGGAGAUGGUGGAAACAUAGAAACAGCUGAUGUUGAUCAUGCAGAUGACAAAUGUCCACCACAGAAUACUUACUAGAAAUUGGAGGGGUAUGCCAUUUGAAUUUCUCGCCUGGCCCUGCAAAAGGAAAAUUUUGUUGGGACAGACAACCAGAGUGGAGUGCAUUUAGGGAGAGUAGUUUUGGACAUGGAAUACUUGAGGUGACAGCACAAGAUGUGUCAACAAUGCUGAGAUGUGAACAAAGGACCAUCAUCUUCCUUAUAGAACCCGGGAAUUUUUGUUUCUUAGUAGAUGCUUUCAUAGUACUUGUAUGUAUAAUUAGUUUGAAUUGCAUUUUUUGUGCGGAUUUGUUUUGUAAUAACUUUCAACUUACCACUAGGUACUAGUUUAACUUUAUUUCAUUUUGGAAUUGAAAUAUUUUUGCGUAUUG